AGUGCUGCCUUCUGGUCCUCGGCUGGAAGAUGCUGGCUGCCGGGUACAGACCUUCACUGCAGGUAUAAAUUGCAGACACUAACCGUGCUGGCAGUGAAGCCACCUCCUGCAGACAGGAUUUACUGCAGUGGCGAGGGCUGUGGAAAGUUCAGAAGGUUUAUACAGCCUUGAUUUAGAGUGCCCUUCAUCUGUUACUACAAUCUAAUCACUUUCUCCUCAAACAGCUCUAUUCCAGCCUGGCACACACAGGAUAGAAAGCCUUGUAUUUUGCUCGAAAUGCUGGUAACAUCCACUUUAGGAAGAGCCGACACCUAGCAAGCAGGACACAGGACGCGUGUCCACCCACUGCCUAUGGAGGAGCUCCUUAACUGCUCUGAUGGAAAAGUUCUCGGUCGUGGAGGGCGCCUCCGAGAGACGACUCCAGAUGAAAGGAAGGCUGCUGGAGGUAGGAAGCUGGGAAAACCGCGAUUGGCUGCUGUUUGUACCUGAAAGAGGUCCAGUGCAACCUUCGAGAAGCCAAUUCCUGGAUAGUUCAUGGGGUCACGAGUCCCUCCCAAAAGAGGCCGAGGGACUACAGCAACCGAGACGCACAGGAGUCCUCUGGGGACAGCCUGACGGGCGGGUGCUGGGGGUGCCACGUUGCACAGCUGGGCACGGUGUGGGGUCACGUCCCUGGGCCAGAGAAGAGGCCUGUGCAUAGACAAUCUGCUUGGGACGACCCGUGGGCCCGCCCAGACUGGAGAACAGACCCUCGCCUGCGGGCGCCAUCGGCCCCACCUUCCACGGCUGAGAACUGGCCGUCUGAGGCAUGUGCGUGUGGCCCACAGCACGCGUCCGCUGGCCAGUGAAUGGCUUUUUUUUCAUCUGCACUUAAAUGACUUUUUAAGAUUAUUUUGGCUCUUUUGUAAGGUUCCACCUUUUUUUUCCAUCUUUUAUAUUUACUCGGUUUUGGCAAACCUUUGGGUGAGAGUGGGCAGGUUACGGUGUGCGAGCUGUUCUGCGACGUACGAAUCCCCAGUCCAGAAAUGGUCUGACCGGCUUCUCAGCAAAUAAAAGCAGCCCUGUGUCGGGGUCCCCAAGACCACCCGGGGGGCAGAGAUUCGCCAGCAGGAAUCACAGGACUCAGCAGACAGUGUGGUCGUGCUCGUGACGAUGCCUUAUUACAGCAGAGGACGCAGAGCGCGCGUGAAACUGCGACCACAGCGUUAAACUGCGACCGCACCCGUGAAGCACUGUCACCGGGGACGCUCAUGAGACGCCCAGGGUUUACUCAGGCUGGACAUGUAGGCACCCCUGGCUGGCACCUCCAAGACUCCCGACUCCAGAAGGAACCAGGCGGUCAGGAUAAAAGACAUGGUCCAUGCAGACGGUCUGGACACGGCGAGCCCUCUUAUUCGCUGAGGAAAGGACGGUUAAGAUGAUGAUGGAAAGACCUUAGAGGAAGCAGCACGGCAAGAUCAGCAGAAAUCUGGAAAGGCUGUCCAAGAGCGGUUCUAUCUGUAAACGCCGCCGCCCCAUUAACCAGGCCGGGCCGGCUUCAGCCCAGGCUGACCCCCCAGACGGUACCGAGUUCUGGAUCUAGAUGCCAUCAGAGUCAAGGUACGUGGCUCGCAGGUCUGAGACCUGUCACUUGCAGCACAGAGGCCUUCCCUUCUCCCACUUCACACCCGAUCGUGACAAGAGCCUCUGACCCCUCUCUGGUCUGCGAUCCCGCCUGCUCCCAUCUCCCUACACAGACGCUGUGCGUGAGCUGACAAAUGGCCACUCACACCCCUCACUCCCUUGCCUUCCUCUCGUACAAAUUGUCCAGCUCCCCUUGAGGCAAAGACGGGGGAUGUGAUAUUUCUGAUCAGCAGGUGUAGGUGGAAGUGCUUAGGAAGGUUGUAUCUGUCAGGAUCCAGGACCAAGCAGAUGCCACACCGCAGGAGGCACUGUCACAGCUGCGUGAGUGGGCUGAGCGGCCAGCGAGGAAGGAUGCAGCCCCAGGACUGGAGACACUGGGAAGCUGCUACCACCUGGGUUUUCCGGCCAGUGGGCAGCCGUAAACAUCCCAGCCUCUCGCCAGCCUCAUUGGCCAAACCCAACUGGAAGCCGGAGGUCCAGAGAACCUGAGGGAUGAGGCCCAUGGGUCAGCCUCCCAGGGCAAAGGGCAGACUAGAAAGGGGCAGGGCUGGGCUGGAACACAAAUGGAGACCAUUCACCAUGGGAUUCCACCCUCCCAAACACAGAGACGGGGUCUCGCAGAGGAAGGCUCGCCGCUGCCUUUCCUCCCGCCUGGAGAGCAGACGUGGGGUCUGGAGGUGCAGCAGCCGUGACCGUGCAGGCAGCAGAGCGGGAGGCCGGGCCCCUGGGGCCCCUGCCCCGCCUGGGGGCUCCCUCUGGACCUGCUGUGUGAGAAAAGCAGCCCCAUCUCCUGAGACAGUGUGGGGGCUUUGUGGUGACUGCAGCCGGGUGCUAUCCCGCCGCCAGCCCCGACCUCGUCCACACUUCAUGUUUCUGUAAUGCUGUGUGUGGCGGCACAGCUCCAAGUGUGCUCUCUGAUUGGAAGGGAGAAGAGCCAUGCCACCGUGCCCUUUCCUUAAAUACAGGAAGGGACAAGUGGUUCGCCUGCGAGGAGCAGAGUGCGCGGGGGCAGCUCCCACCGGACUCUCCUGACCCGCCUCCCAGGGACGUCCCAGCUCAGCGCGGGGAUGAGGUGGCGCUGGCUGACGUGGGGUACGCUGGCUGCCUGCUGCUCAGGCUUCCAAGACAGUCUUCGCUUCAACUCAGGGUCACUCCUUUGUGGGGUCACGGACUGUUAACAAGAAGGGGAACCCCCAAGGAUCAAUAAACACCUGCAGUCAGGGAGACAGACAUUCAACGAACGACAGAAAGAGUCAGACAAAACGCUCUCCUAACAGAACAAGCCUCUCACACACCAGCUUUGCAAAAACUGAAGAGCGAUGACCCCUGUGCUGGCGAGUACAUAAGGAGCAGGACAGCCCACACUAACAGGCAGGCAGGUCAAGUCCUAGAGGCCCUUAGAAAGCAGCCUGUCAGAGGCAGAAUUUAAAAGACUACACAUAUAUUUUGACCAGAAAUUCCUAGAAAUGGGUUCCAUAAAGGAAUCUAUGCACAGGAUCUUUGUUAUUACACUGUAGAGGCAAUAAAUAAACAAAAACUAACACUUGAAUGUCUUUUAAUGUAAUGUUGAAUAAAACUGCAGUGUAUCCACAAUGUUAUAUGUCAAUCAUACCUCGAUAAAGCUGGGAAAAUUUUUUUAAAUUACGGUGUAUACAUACCAUGGACUGGCAUAGAG